GUAGGUGGCAAGCGUUGUCCGGAAUUAUUGGGCGUAAAGCGCGCGCAGGCGGUUCUUUAAGUCUGAUGUGAAAGCCCACGGCUCAACCGUGGAGGGUCAUUGGAAACUGGAGAACUUGAGUACAGAAGAGGAAAGCGGAAUUCCACGUGUAGCGGUGAAAUGCGUAGAGAUGUGGAGGAACACCAGUGGCGAAGGCGGCUUUCUGGUCUGUAACUGACGCUGAGGCGCGAAAGCGUGGGGAGCAAACAGGAUUAGAUACCCUGGUAGUCCACGCCGUAAACGAUGAGUGCUAAGUGUUAGGGGGUUUCCGCCCCCUUAGUGCUGCAGCUAACGCAUUGAGCACUCCGCCUGGGAGUACGGCCGCAAGGCUG
rnacentral:rRNA from 1 species